rnacentral:tRNA from 1 species
GCUUUUAAAGGACAACAGUCAAUCCACUGGUCUUAGGAGCCAGUAACUCUUGGUGCAAAUCCAUGUAAAAGCU